UUGAAUUUGUUAGUGAAUUAAAGAAAUGCGUUGAAUUCGUUAGUGAAUUAAAGAAAUUCGUUGAAUUUUUUAGUGAGUUAAAGAAAUUCGUUGAAUUUUUUAGUGAAUUAAAGAAAUGCGUUGAAUUUGUCAGUGAAUUAAAGAAACUUGUUGAGUUUGUUAGUGCAUUAAAGAAAUUCGUUGAAUUUUUUAGUGAGUUAAAGAAAUUCGUAGAAUUUUUUAGUGAAUUAAAUAAAUGCGUUGAAUUUGUUAGUGAAUUGAAGAAAUUCGUUGCAUUUGAUAGUUAGAUAAAGAUUUUGUUGAAUUUGUUAGUGAAUUAAAGAAAUGCGUUGAAUUUGUUAGUGAA
rnacentral:lncRNA from 1 species